rnacentral:rRNA from 1 species
AGUGAACGCUGGCGGUAGGCCUAGCACAUGCAAGUCGAACGGCAGCACAGUAAGAGCUUGCUCUUACGGGUGGCGAGUGGCGGACGGGUGAGGAAUACAUCGGAAUCUACUUUUUCGUGGGGGAUAACGUAGGGAAACUUACGCUAAUACCGCAUACGACCUACGGGUGAAAGCAGGGGAUCUUCGGACCUUGCGCGAUUGAAUGAGCCGAUGUCGGAUUAGCUAGUUGGCGGGGUAAAGGCCAACCAAGGCGACGAUCCGUAGCUGGUCUGAGAGGAUGAUCAGCCACACUGGAACUGAGACACGGUCCAGACGCCUACGGGAGGAAGCAGUGGGGAAUAUUGGACAAAGGGCGCAAGCCUGAUCCAGCCAUACCGCGUGAGUGAAGAAGGCCUUCGGGUUGUAAAGCCCUUUUGUUGGGAAAGAAAAGCAGCAGGUUAAUACCCCGCUGUUCUGACGGUACCCAAAGAAUAAGCACCGGCUAACUUCGUG